rnacentral:rRNA from 1 species
AUGAACGCUAGCUACAGGCUUAACACAUGCAAGUCGAGGGGCAGCAUGGUCUUAGCUUGCUAAGACUGAUGGCGACCGGCGCACGGGUGAGUAACACGUAUCCAACCUGCCGUCUACUCUUGGACAGCCUUCUGAAAGGAAGAUUAAUACAAGAUGGCAUCAUGAGUCCGCAUGUUCACAUGAUUAAAGGUAUUCCGGUAGACGAUGGGGAUGCGUUCCAUUAGAUAGUAGGCGGGGUAACGGCCCACCUAGUCUUCGAUGGAUAGGGGUUCUGAGAGGAAGGUCCCCCACAUUGGAACUGAGACACGGUCCAAACUCCUACGGGAGGCAGCAGUGAGGAAUAUUGGUCAAUGGGCGAGAGCCUGAACCAGCCAAGUAGCGUGAAGGAUGACUGCCCUAUGGGUUGUAAACUUCUUUUAUAAAGGAAUAAAGUCGGGUAUGGAUACCCGUUUGCAUGUACUUUAUGAAUAAGGAUCGGCUAACUCCGUGCCAGCAGCCGCGGUAAUACGGAGGAUCCGAGCGUUAUCCGGAUUUAUUGGGUUUAAAGGGAGCGUAGAUGGAUGUUUAAGUCAGUUGUGAAAGUUUGCGGCUCAACCGUAAAAUUGCAGUUGAUACUGGAUAUCUUGAGUGCAGUUGAGGCAGGCGGAAUUCGUGGUGUAGCGGUGAAAUGCUUAGAUAUCACGAAGAACUCCGAUUGCGAAGGCAGCCUGCUAAGCUGCAACUGACAUUGAGGCUCGAAAGUGUGGGUAUCAAACAGGAUUAGAUACCCUGGUAGUCCACACGGUAAACGAUGAAUACUCGCUGUUUGCGAUAUACUGCAAGCGGCCAAGCGAAAGCGUUAAGUAUUCCACCUGGGGAGUACGCCGGCAACGGUGAAACUCAAAGGAAUUGACGGGGGCCCGCACAAGCGGAGGAACAUGUGGUUUAAUUCGAUGAUACGCGAGGAACCUUACCCGGGCUUAAAUUGCAGAUGAAUUACGGUGAAAGCCGUAAGCCGCAAGGCAUCUGUGAAGGUGCUGCAUGGUUGUCGUCAGCUCGUGCCGUGAGGUGUCGGCUUAAGUGCCAUAACGAGCGCAACCCUUGUUGUCAGUUACUAACAGGUUCCGCUGAGGACUCUGACAAGACUGCCAUCGUAAGAUGUGAGGAAGGUGGGGAUGACGUCAAAUCAGCACGGCCCUUACGUCCGGGGCUACACACGUGUUACAAUGGGGGGUACAGAGGGCCGCUACCACGCGAGUGGAUGCCAAUCCCCAAAACCUCUCUCAGUUCGGACUGGAGUCUGCAACCCGACUCCACGAAGCUGGAUUCGCUAGUAAUCGCGCAUCAGCCACGGCGCGGUGAAUACGUUCCCGGGCCUUGUACACACCGCCCGUCACACCAUGAGAGCCGGGAACACCCGAAGUCCGUAGUCUAACCGCAAGGAGGACGCGGCCGAAGGUGGGUUUGGUAAUUGGGGUG